rnacentral:rRNA from 1 species
UCCGUAGGGGUGGCCUGCGGAGGGAUCAUUACACAACAAAAAUAUGAGGGUGUGGUUUGCUGGCAACAGCGUCCGCCCCAAGUAUUUUUCACCCAUGUCUUUUGCGCACUUUUUGUUUCCUGGGCGAGUUCGCUCGCCACCAGGACCCAACCAUAAACCUUUUUUUAUGCAGUUGCAAUCAGCGUCAGUAUAAUAAUUCAAUUUAUUAAAACUUUCAACAACGGAUCUCUUGGUUCUGGCAUCGAUGAAGAACGCAGCGAAAUGCGAUACGUAGUGUGAAUUGCAGAAUUCAGUGAAUCAUCGAAUCUUUGAACGCACAUUGCGCCCUUUGGUAUUCCAAAGGGCAUGCCUGUUCGAGCGUCAUUUGUACCCUCAAGCUUUGCUUGGUGUUGGGCGUCUUUUUGUCUCUCCCCUUGUUGGGGGAGACUCGCCUUAAAACGAUUGGCAGCCGACCUACUGGUUUUCGGAGCGCAGCACAAAUUUGCGCCUUCCAAUCCACGGGGCGGCAUCCAGCAAGCCUUUGUUUUCUAUAACAAAUCCACAUUUUGACCUCGGAUCAGGUAGGGAUACCCGCUGAACUUAAGCAUAUCAAAAC